GCGCCAUUAGCUCAGUUGGUAGAGCAUCUGACUCUUAAUCAGGCGGCCACAGGUUCAAAUCCUGUAUGACGCACCA
rnacentral:tRNA from 4 species